rnacentral:tRNA from 1 species
GGGGAUAUGGCGAAAUUGGUAGACGCUACGGACUAAAAUCCGUCGACUUUAGAAAUCGUGAGGGUUCAAGUCCCUCUAUCCCCAAAAAGCCCA